ACUUGAAACACCAUUUUUGUCAUUUUCUCCUCUUUUGGUACAAUUCGUUCACCGUCUCCGGCAGAGUGCACAUUGAGAGAGUUCACCGUCUCCGGCGAUGUCGGAAAUCGAAACGGCCGACGAACUUCAGCGCAGGGAGUUUGAAGAAGCUCUAGAAGUUAAAUCCCUCCGUCGUAUCAUCAGCGCCUACCUCAAUUAUCCUGAAGCUGCAGAGGAGGAUGUGAAAAGAUGGGAAAGGUCUCUUACAAAACUACCGCCGCAUCAUAAGGCCCUAUUGUCUCACCUUCCGGCGAAGUUUCAGAAACUUAGAUGGUGCAUCACUGAAAAUUCAUAUUUCAUAUUUGAGAUGCUAAAGAUGUUUGAGCCCCCUCUUGAUAUGAGUCAGGAUGUUGAUAUUCGUGAAGACCAACAUCUGGAUGAUGUGUCAGGUAGUCAUCACUUUUCUAGAUCAAGGAACCUUUGCUUAUGUGAGUCAACGUCAACUAGUGGUGGAGUAGAUUGCCACUGCUUGGCUGAACCGAGCUCUAAAGAGACCUGCAAUGGGAAGUACCCGUCACCAUUUAAUAAGGAGCAAGAGGUUGAUGAUUGUAAGAGCCCUCCAGACCAGGACACGUUAUAUGCUUCUGCUUGUUGCAAUGGAAAGGUAUCCUCAUCACCUCCGGAAUGGUUGGACCCAUCUUUGCAGCUGCAUGUUCCACUGGUUGAUGUAGAUAAGGUUCGUUGUAUCAUCAGAAACAUUGUAAGAGAUUGGGCCAACGAGGGUCAAAAAGAACGUGAUCAGUGUUAUAGGCCCAUUCUGGAAGAGCUUGAACGCCUAUUUCCUAAUCGAUCUAAUGAAAAUCCUCCAGCCUGUUUGGUUCCUGGUGCUGGACUUGGAAGACUUGCACUAGAAAUUUCAUGUCUUGGUUUUGCUAGCCAAGGAAACGAAUUUUCAUACUACAUGAUGAUCUGCUCCAGUUUUAUUCUUAAUCAUACUCAAGCUGCUGGUGAAUGGACAAUCUUUCCGUGGAUACACAGCAAUUGCAAUUCGGUGUCAGACAAUGAUCAGCUUCGUCCCGUCUCUGUUCCAGAUAUUCAUCCGGCUAGUGCAGGUAUUACUGAAGGCUUUUCCAUGUGUGGUGGUGAUUUUGUUGAGGUUUAUAGUGAUCCAAGCCAAGCAGGUUAUAAUUUAGCUCGUACAAGGAUAAUGUAUUUUGAUAUUUCAUCUAUACCUUGUGGAAAUGAGAGCUGCAAUUGGGAUAUGUGUACCUGCAUCUUAAUGGGCCCUAAAGCGUUUGGGAUGCAGUUGUCACUUGUUUCUUCCUAGACACUGCCCAUAACAUUGUGGAGUAUGUUGAGAUUAUCUCAAAAGUCCUCAAAGAUGGUGGAGUCUGGAUAAACCUGGGGCCCUUGUUGUAUCAUUUUGCAGAUAUGUAUAGUCCAGAAGAUGAAAUGUCUAUUGAUCUGAGCUUGGAGGAUGUGAAAAGGGUCGCUCUUCAUUAUGGAUUUAUAUUUGAGAAAGAAUCAACUAUUGAGACAACAUAUACUACAAAUCUUAGGUCAAUGAUGCAAAAUCGAUAUUAUGCUGCCUUCUGGACAAUGCGUAAGAAAACAAAGGUGACUUUGUAGUUAAGCAACAAAUAGUUUGCAUCCUGUGUUGUGGAAUAGCAAUGAAUUCGCGUUGAUCCUCUUGAAGGCAUGCAUAUUUGAGACUAGGAGGACGAUUUAAACAAGAUUUUGUUUUCUUUGAUCAAUGUAAUGGAGAUGGCAUGAAUGACUAUUCAAAUUUACUUUUGUUGCUAGCAUCCUAAAACUUGUGUAUUGAUAGAAGUUCUUCAUAUUGUUGAUGAGAGGAUACGUACAAAACAAAUAUUCGUGAUACUUGUAGUGGCGACUAAAGUAAAGUUUAUUAAUGAGACUAGUGUUGUGGAUAA